GAUGAACGCUGGUGGCGUGCCUAAUACAUGCAAGUCGAGCGAAUGGAUUAAGAGCUUGCUCUUAUGAAGUUAGCGGCGGACGGGUGAGUAACACGUGGGUAACCUGCCCAUAAGACUGGGAUAACUCCGGGAAACCGGGGCUAAUACCGGAUAACAUUUUGAACCGCAUGGUUCGAAAUUGAAAGGCGGCUUCGGCUGUCACUUAUGGAUGGACCCGCGUCGCAUUAGCUAGUUGGUGAGGUAACGGCUCACCAAGGCAACGGUGCGUAGCCGACCUGAGAGGUGGGUCGGCCACACUGGGACUGAGGCACGGCCCAGACUCCUACGGGAGGCAGCAGUAGGGAAUCUUCCGCAAUGGACGAAAGUCUGACGGAGCAACGCCGCGUGAGUGAUGAAGGCUUUCGGGUCGUAAAACUCUGUUGUUAGGGAAGAACAAGUGCUAGUUGAAUAAGCUGGCACCUUGACGGUACCUAACCAGAAAGCCACGGCUAACUACGUGCCAGCAGCCGCCGCCG
rnacentral:rRNA from 1 species